CACGGAGCAGGGGGCGGUGCCCGUUGCGGAGGCUCGGGCCGCGCGGGAGCCCACCAUGGGGGGGGCUCGGGAAUGGCGGGCUGCAGGCCCCGAGCCCUGCCCCUCUGGGAGGCGGCUGAAACCCGGUGAGAAUUCGAGCGUGGCGCGGGUGGGCCAGCAGUGUUUGGGGACCCGGAGCACUCUCCACAGCUGCUGGUCCAGGUGCUAAGUCCCUCACUGCCCAGCACCUGCAGCGCCGACCGGCCGCUCUUGAGUGCGGGGCCUGCAGAGCCCACGCCCACCCGGAACUCGCGCUGGCCCGUGAGCGCCGUGCCGCAGCCCCGGUUCCCGCCCGCGCCUCUCCCUCCACACUUCGCCGCAAGCAGAGGGAGCCGGCUCCGGCCUCAGCUGGCCCAGAGAGGGGCUCCCUCAGUGCAGUGGCGAGCUGAAGGGCUCCUCAAGGGCGGCUGGAGUGGACGCUGAGGCCGAGGAGACGCCAAGAGCAAACGAGGGCUGCUAGUACAUUGUCACCUCUCACUGGUAACUACAGUUGCUGUCAGUUUAACUCCUUCUUCCCACCAACAUGGAUUGUGCUGAAAGAUGGCAAAUACUUGUAUGCUGACAGUUUUCUACAGCUUAAGACCCGGUUCUUGAUGGGAGAAAAAUAAACAUCAUCAGCUGCUUCCUUCCUAAUAACCAUACUAUUUUAAGGGAACUUGAGAUUUUGUUUAUAAACUACACUGAUGGUUAUGUAACCAAUGAGAUCUAUAUUUCUGGCACAUUUCCUUUCAUACAGACUCAAUUAAA
rnacentral:lncRNA from 10 species